AACGAACGCUGGCGGCAUGCCUAACACAUGCAAGUCGAACGAACCCUUCGGGGUGAGUGGCGCACGGGUGCGUAACGCGUGGGAACCUGCCUUUAGGUUCGGAAUAACUCAGAGAAAUUUGAGCUAAUACCGGAUAAUGUCUUCGGACCAAAGAUUUAUCGCCUUUAGAUGGGCCCGCGUUAGAUUAGAUAGUUGGUGGGGUAACGGCCUACCAAGUCGACGAUCUAUAGCUGGUCUGAGAGGAUGAUCAGCCACACUGGGACUGAGACACGGCCCAGACUCCUACGGGAGGCAGCAGUGGGGGAAUAUUGGACAAUGGGGCGAAAGCCUGAUCCAGCAAUGCCGCGUGAGUGAUGAAGGCCUUAGGGUUGUAAAGCUCUUUUACCAGGGAUGAUAAUGACAGUACCUGGAGAAUAAGCUCCGGCUAACUCCGUG
rnacentral:rRNA from 1 species